CCGGCGCACGGGUGCGUAACGCGUAUGCAAUCUACCUUAUACUGGAGGAUAGCCCGAGGAAACUCGGAUUAAUACUCCAUAGCAUUAUGAAGUGGCAUCACUUUAUAAUUAAAGAUUUAUUGGUAUAAGAUGAGCAUGCGUCUGAUUAGUUAGUUGGUAAGGUAACGGCUUACCAAGACAAUGAUCAGUAGGGGUUCUGAGAGGAUGAUCCCCCACACUGGCACUGAGAUACGGGCCAGACUCCUACGGGAGGCAGCAGUAGGGAAUAUUGGUCAAUGGGCGAGAGCCUGAACCAGCCAUGCCGCGUGCAGGAUGACGGCCUUCUGGGUUGUAAACUGCUUUUAUAUGGGAAGAAAAAGGUCUUGCGAGACAAAUUGCCGGUACCAUAUGAAUAAGCACCGGCUAACUCCGUGCCAGCAGCCGCGGUAAGACGGAGGAUGCAAGUGUUAUCCGGAAUCACUGGGCGUAAA
rnacentral:rRNA from 12 species